GUGGGGAAUUUUGGACAAUGGGCGAAAGCCUGAUCCAGCCAUGCCGCGUGCAGGAUGAAGGCCUUCGGGUUGUAAACUGCUUUUGUACGGAACGAAACGGUCCGGGUUAAUACCCUGGGCUAAUGACGGUACCGUAAGAAUAAGCACCGGCUAACUACGUGCCAGCAGCCGCGGUAAUACGUAGGGUGCAAGCGUUAAUCGGAAUUACUGGGCGUAAAGCGUGCGCAGGCGGUUUUGUAAGACAGGCGUGAAAUCCCCGGGCUCAACCUGGGAAUUGCGCUUGGGACUGCAAGGCUGGAGUGCGGCAGAGGGGGAUGGAAUUCCGCGUGUAGCAGUGAAAUGCGUAGAUAUGCGGAGGAACACCGAUGGCGAAGGCAAUCCCCUGGGCCUGCACUGACGCUCAUGCACGAAAGCGUGGGGAGCAAACAGGAUUAGAAACCCCAGUAGUCC
rnacentral:rRNA from 1 species